GCAGCCUUAGAACACUGCCUUCAGCGUCUGUCAGACCAGAAGGCUCUGCAAAAAUGGGAGCCUUUAAGCAACUCCUAUCAACAACGCCCAUCUCAGCCAUCUUCCAUGACUCAGGAAUCUGUUUCUGGAUGGCAGCGUCUAUUUUCCGCUUUAGUUCCCAGCAGGAUCAGAUUCCUGAAGCUUGCAGCAUCUCCUAAGCCACCAGAGAAUUGCCAUCUCUUACUCCGUGCUAGCUGGUAAGCAUUUCUUCUAGUGAAGGAACUGUAUGAUUUUUUUUAAGCAGACAAAUCCUUCUCUGACAAAUGGACUGGUUCUACUGGACCAAGCAAGACAGAGAAAUGGUGAAAUCCUAUGUCUGGCAAUAAAAAAUAAGCUGCUGUGAACAAUCUUUCAGACCACAGCUGUAACCUAAGAACCCCACGUUGCUGGAGUGUCCAUCCAUGAAACACAGCAACAUGUAACAGGGAGCCAUGAACCCUAAUGCAGAGUGUGACAGGUCUUCCAGGGAGAAAGCUCUACAAAGACAUUAUUAUUAUUACACACCCCUAUUUUUAAUAUUAGGAAAAUAAGAUACCCCUUGCUAGUAGUUACAGUCUUGGAGCAGCAAACACAACUGGAACACAUGACUGACCAUAGGCAGAAAAAAAGAAGAAAUUCAGAGCAUCACAAGGCAUGGGAUGAGUGACUUUGUCAAAUUUUUUUUCUCAAAACCACCCUCCCUGUCCUCCUCCCA